UAUGACUAGUGCAGAAUUCUGCACCAUUCUUGGAUGAGUUACUGGUCACAUAAUAUCGAGGGUGUCAGCUUUUUGAGAUGAUCCUAAUUAUCCUAUAGAGUACAGACUGAAGCUAGUAUAUCAAUGGGAAAUAUUCUCUCCGUGGAUUAAUAAGGAUCCACAGAAUACAGAAGUUGGAGGUGAAUUAUUUUCGACGCCAUUGACCUGAAACACCAUCUAGGGGAUCAUACUUAUGUCUCAGUAACUGAUAGUGGUUACUGGCAGAUAGAGCUAGAAGGUCUUGACAUUGCAAACAGUUCAACAGGUCACUGUUCGGCAGAAUACUGCAUCAUGUGAAGAGAUGGCUACAACAAUGUCUACGGCAGAAUCUGUAGCUCUUAAAGGACUACCUCAAUGCAUUGUUACUGUGAUAGCUGAGUUUGCCAGAUUCAGCAAGACUUUGAUAUUAUACUGGAGCCAUGUCCCAUGUUUGCCGAAGCCAUCCUUCAAGUCAGAAUCAGUACCCUGGGGU